rnacentral:misc_RNA from 1 species
AAGUCGUAACAAGGUUUCCGUAGGUGAACCUGCGGAAGGAUCAUUAACACGUUAAGCUCCUCGCAAGAGGGCUUACGUUAUCUUAUAAACGGUCACUUAUACCUGCCCGAUUAUAGGGUGUUAAAGCUGCAAUGCAGUGGGUAACUAUACGCGUGAGUUAUCGUGGCUUUAACUAUGCACUUUGAGUGCCACCUUAUAGUUGGGCGGAAGACAGGGUUAGCUCCCUGCGUUAACUACCACUGAGGUUGCGUAUCGGAGCUAACUCUUUCAAUUACCAAUGAAUCUUAUUCUCUGAUUCUAAUCUUGCUAGCACUAGAGUUCGUUCAUUGGGCAACCAAUGGGCUCGAGCCAGUGUUAGUGGGUUACAAUCAAACAAAAUCAAUACAACUCAUAGCAAUGGAUGUCUUGGUUCCCAU